GUGGGGAAUAUUGGACAAUGGGGGGAACCCUGAUCCAGCCAUGCCGCGUGUGUGAAGAAGGCCUUUUGGUUGUAAAGCACUUUAAGCGAGGUGGAGGCUACCGAGAUUAAUACUCUUGGAUAGUGGACGUUACUCGCAGAAUAAGCACCGGCUAACUCUGUGCCAGCAGCCGCGGUAAUACAGAGGGUGCAAGCGUUAAUCGGAUUUACUGGGCGUAAAGCGCGCAGAGGUGGCCAAUUAAGUCAAAUGUGAAAUCCCCGAGCUUAACUUGGGAAUUGCAUUCGAUACUGGUUGGCUAGAGUAUGGGAGAGGAUGGUAGAAUUCCAGGUGGAGCGGUGAAAUGCGUAGAGAUCUGGAGGAAUACCGAUGGCGAAGGCAGCCAUCUGGCCUAAUACUGACACUGAGGUGCGAAAGCAUGGGGAGCAAACAGGAUUAGAAACCCGGGUAGUCC
rnacentral:rRNA from 1 species